rnacentral:rRNA from 1 species
AUUGAACGCUGGCGGCAUGCCUUACACAUGCAAGUCGAACGGCAGCACGGGAGCAAUCCUGGUGGCGAGUGGCGAACGGGUGAGUAAUAUAUCGGAACGUGCCCAGUCGUGGGGGAUAACGCAGCGAAAGCUGUGCUAAUACCGCAUACGAUCUAUGGAUGAAAGCGGGGGAUCGCAAGACCUCGCGCGAUUGGAGCGGCCGAUAUCAGAUUAGGUAGUUGGUGGGGUAAAGGCCUACCAAGCCUGCGAUCUGUAGCUGGUCUGAGAGGACGACCAGCCACACUGGAACUGAGACACGGUCCAGACUCCUACGGGAGGCAGCAGUGGGGAAUUUUGGACAAUGGGCGCAAGCCUGAUCCAGCAAUGCCGCGUGCAGGAUGAAGGCCUUCGGGUUGUAAACUGCUUUUGUACGGAACGAAAAGGCUCUGGUUAAUACCUGGGGCUGAUGACGGUACCGUAAGAAUAAGCACCGGCUAACUACGUG